rnacentral:rRNA from 1 species
UACGUAGGGUGCGAGCGUUAAUCGGAUUUACUGGGCGUAAAGCGUGCGCAGGCGGCCCGUUAAGACAGGUGUGAAAUCCCUGGGCUCAACCUAGGAAUUGCGCUUGUGACUGGCGGGCUCGAGUACGGUAGAGGGGGGUGGAAUUCCUGGUGUAGCAGUGAAAUGCGUAGAGAUCAGGAGGAACACCGAUGGCGAAGGCAGCGCCCUGGGCGUGUACUGACGCUCAUGCACGAAAGCGUGGGGAGCAAACAGG